rnacentral:rRNA from 1 species
CCUACGGGAGGCAGCAGUGAGGAAUAUUGGUCAAUGGGCGUAAGCCUGAACCAGCCAAGUCGCGUGAGGGAUGAAGGUUCUAUGGAUUGUAAACUUCUUUUAUACGGGAAUAAAGUGCGGGACGUGUCCCGUUUUGUAUGUACCUUAUGAAUAAGGAUCGGCUAACUCCGUGCCAGCAGCCGCGGUAAUACGGAGGAUCCGAGCGUUAUCCGGAUUUAUUGGGUUUAAAGGGUGCGUAGGCGGCCUUUUAAGUCAGCGGUGAAAGUCUGUGGCUCAACCAUAGAAUUGCCGUUGAAACUGGGAGGCUUGAGUAUGUUUGAGGCAGGCGGAAUGCGUGGUGUAGCGGUGAAAUGCUUAGAUAUCACGCAGAACCCCGAUUGCGAAGGCAGCCUGCCAAGCCAUGACUGACGCUGAUGCACGAAAGCGUGGGGAUCAAACAGGAUUAGAUACCCGGGUAGUC